rnacentral:miRNA from 1 species
AAAAGUACUUGCGGAUUU